GACGAACGCUGGCGGCGUGCUUAACACAUGCAAGUCGAACGGAGAGGCCCUGCUUUUGUGGGGUGCUCGAGUGGCGAACGGGUGAGUAACACGUGAGUAACCUGCCCUUGACUUUGGGAUAACUUCAGGAACUCGGGGUUAUCCCCGAUAGGAGGCCCGGGCAGAUGGGGGGGGGUUGGAAGUUUCGGGCGGUGGGGGUGGGCGCGCGGGUUAAACAGCUGGUUGGGGGGGGAGUGGCUAACCAGGGGUUUGACGGGUAGCCGGCCUGAGAGGGUGACCGGCCUCAUUGGUACUGAGAUACGGCCCAGACUCCUACGGGAGGCAGCAGUGGGGAAUAUUGCACAAUGGGCGGAAGCCUGAUGCAGCAACGCCGCGUGCGGGAUGACGGCCUUCGGGUUGUAAACCGCUUUCGCCUGUGACGAAGCGUGAGUGACGGUAAUGGGUAAAGAAGCACCGGCUAACUACGUG
rnacentral:rRNA from 1 species